CCGAUAUGGCUCAGCUGGUAGAGCGAUUCACUCGUAAUGAAUAGGCCACCGGUUCGAAUCCGGUUAUCGG
rnacentral:tRNA from 1 species